GGAUGAACGCUGGCGGCGUGCCUAACACAUGCAAGUCGAACGCUCGCAAGAGAGUGGCGCACGGGUGAGUAACACGUAGCUAAUCUGCCCUCAAGACAAGGAUAACUGUAGGAAACUACUGCUAAUACUUGAUAAGCUUACGGACUGUAGAGGUCUAUAAGAAAAGAUUUAUCGCUUGAGGAUGAGGCUGCGCGCCAUCAGCUAGUUGGUAAGGUAAUGGCUUACCAAGGCGACGACGGCUAGGGGACCUGAGAGGGUGACCCCCCCACACUGGGACUGAGACACGGCCCAGACUCCUACGGGAGGCAGCAGUGAGGAAUAUUGCUCAAUGGGCGCAAGCCUGAAGCAGCGACGCCGCGUGGAUGAAGAAGGUUUCGGACUGUAAAAUCCUUUUCUGUGUGACGAGAGUGGACGGUAGCACAGGAAUAAGUCUCGGCUAACUACGUG
rnacentral:rRNA from 1 species